UUCCGGUUGAUCCUGCCGGAGGCGACCGCUUUGGGAGUUCGAUUAAGCCAUGCGAGUCGUGAGUCUUAGGGACUCGGCAUACUGCUCGGUAACACGUGGAUAACCUGCCCUAUCGUCUGGAAUAACCUCGGGAAACUGAGAAUAAGGCCGGAUAGUUCACAAUGCCUGGAACGGUUUGUGAAUCAAGGUAGGAUGGGUCUGCGGCGUAUCAGGUUGUAGGGGGUGUAAAGGACCCCCUAGCCUUCGACGCGUACGGGUGUUGGGAGACAUAGCCCGGAGAUGGAUUCUGAGACACGAAUCCAGACCCUACGGGGUGCAGCAGGCGCGAAAACUUCACACUGCAGGAAACUGUGAUGAGGGAACUCCUAGUGCAUGCACUAUGUGUAUGUAGAUCCUACUCUUAACAAGUAGAGGGAAAGGGCUGGGAAAGACCGGUGCCAGCCGCCGCGGUAAUACCGGCAGCUCAAGUGGUCGUCGCUUUUAUUGGGCCUAAAACGUCCGUAGCCUGUUUGGUAAAUCUGUGGGUAAAUCAAUCCGCUCAACGGAUUGAAUUCUGCAGAGACUGCCAGACUAGGGACCGGGAGAGGUGUGGGGUACUCGAGGGGUAGGGGUAAAAUCCUGUCAUCCUUCGAGGACCACCAGUUGCGAAGGCGCCACACUGGAACGGAUCCGACGGUCAGGGACGAAGCCUAGGGGCACGAACCGGAUUAGAUACCCGGGUAGUCCUAGGUGUAAACGCUGUGAACUUGGUGUCGGGGGUCCGCAAGGGGUCCCCGGUGCCGGAGUGAAGAUGUUAAGUUCACUGCCUGGGGAGUACGGUCGCAAGGCUGAAACUUAAAGGAAUUGGCGGGGCAGCAC
rnacentral:rRNA from 1 species